rnacentral:rRNA from 1 species
CAAUAGCGUAUAUUUAAGUUGCUGCGGUUAAAAAGCUCGUAGUUGGAUUUCGGGUGGGAAUGGUCGGUCCGCCGUUUCGGUGUGCACUUGCUACGCCCACCUUGCUGCCGGGGACGUGCUCUUGAGUUCACGCUCGGGACACGGAGUCGGCGAGGUUACUUUGAGUAAAUUAGAGUGUUCAAAGCAGGCCUACGCUCUGAAUACAUUAGCAUGGAAUAACACGAUAGGACUCUGGCCUAUCUUGUUGGUCUGUAGGACCGGAGUAAUGAUUAAGAGGGACAGUCGGGGGCAUUCGUAUUUCAUUGUCAGAGGUGAAAUUCUUGGAUUUAUGAAAGACGAACUACUGCGAAAGCAUUUGCCAAGGAUGUUUUCAUUAA